GGCUGGUUCAAGUACACAGGUGUUUGUAACUAAUUGAUCACAGCCAGUUAUAGAUUUCUUUGUUCCCCCUCCACUCCUACUGCUUCACUCGACUAGCCUAAA
ensembl:misc_RNA Y_RNA Y RNA